rnacentral:lncRNA from 1 species
CUUCACUCACUUUAUUGGGUCAGGAGAGCCCCAGCACAGUUGGCUGCAAGGUCUAACAGGACAUUCCUGCUGCAGUUUUUCUAUUGAGUAGGCCCCCAGCAUGGCUGUUUGCUAGGCUCAGGGGCUUACAAUUGCUGAUAUGCCUCUGGCCUGCAAGGCUGUUGUCAGUUCUCUCAUUAGUGCAGCUGGGUGGAACCAGCCCCAUGUGUGGCAGCAAAUAGUUGUUUCAAGUGUUGGAAGGUGGAGGCAGAUCCCCUAUGUGGCUGUUUGAGAAGCACAAGUCUUCUGAGGCUGACAAGACCCACCACCCACAGGCCCACACACCCCAUCAAUGCAGUCCUGCACAUGUGUGCACACCACACCCAGCUGAAGGGAACCCACUCACCCUGCUGCAGCAGUUCCACACACCCCCAUCUAAGCAGGCCCACAAGUUACCCAAGGGCUUGCUGGUGGGUGAGGCCAGUCCCUAAGGGCAGGUUGCCUGCCCUGGAUGAGCUGGAUUAAAUCGGUGCCCUAGUUGGUGGGGCAAAGCCCUGCACUAACAGAUCAGGGAAAAAACUCCAAUGGUGUCUUCCAGUGUCUGUGUCAGCAUGCCAGUGUUUGGUCACAAUAAUGGCUGCCACCAAUGUCUCAGUCACUGGAGAGGUGGUCCCAGUCACCUCUUGCUUCCCUGAGAUGUGCCCAGAACCUACCAACCGGAGCAGCGGUGCUCACUGGAGAUCUCCGGAGACAAGGGCAAAAAUCACCCGUCAUUUUCUACUGAAUGGGUGUCUGGAGGACCAUUCAGGCUCCUAGUGGCUGGAUUUGGUGGGGCGGAUUAACGUGGAGAGCCCUUGGAAAAUCAGCAUCGCCCCUGCCUGGACCUGCUAUUGUUCCAGAGGUGAAUGUUCUGUCUAGUUGUGCAGAUAGAAUCUCUCUCCUGCCCGGCCCCAGCCCCACCGGCUUUCUGUGCAGGGUCCUGUGCCCUUUCCCAACUCUGGGCCCCAGGCCUCUCCAGCCAGCCCUCCAUGCCAGCUGGCAGAGGGUGCUCUUGUACAGCAGAUCUGACGCCCUCCCCAUGAAUGCGCUCCCGCUGAAGCCCUCCCGCUCCAGCCAGGCUGCCUCCACCCGCUGGGGCCCUGGAACCCUCACGUGGGGCAAACUGCUGCUCCUUUCCGAAGGCUAGCCUGGGCCAUGCCCCAAGCCACUGCUGAGCUGGCCUCAUUCCCCUUCAAGCUUGUGUGCCCCUCUCUGCACCCCAAUUUCCCCACAAAUGGAACAGAGUGAGGCUGAAUAUGAGAGGAUGUAGUGGGUUUGCUGAUAAUUAUAUGUGUGUUGGGCGGGGAGAGAGAGAGAGGAAAGAGACACUGCCCUCUCAGGGCUCUGCAAUAACAGACUUCAAGAUUUAAUUGGAAAUUUAGUAAAUCUGCUAAAACAUUUAGUGGUUUAAAUUUUUCCUGUUCUGCAAAGAAACAAAGGCUUCUGGUUUACCUUGCGUCUUUCAACAACUUUAAUUUCAUUUGUAGAUUACGGGUGGAAGUAGCAUUUCCACUCGAUUGCAUACUGGGCAUUAAGAAGACAAAAACCUUCCUUGUUUGCAGCCCUCAGAAUUUUUUCAGACAUUAAGCUGUAGGUGGCAUUCUUUAUACCUGACAUCAGAGCACUUUUGUCAGGCGUUUAGUUGACAGGAUUCACUGCAAGCCCAUCGUAGGAGUGUGAAGCAGGAAAACAAGAAAAGAUUUCAUCCAGGUGGUCAGAGAGAGGAGUGUGCACAGGCCGAUCGGCCCGAUCGGGUAACCACUGUUUUCAAACUGUGUAAUUAAAGAUCCUUAGAGUUCUUCGAAGGGAAUUAAUUAGUAGAGAAAGGAUGUUUUGUUUACAGUCUUUAUCAUCAACAUAAGCAAAAGCCAGCCUUGGUAUUGGUGGUGAACUGGACCGAAUUCUCCCGAAGCCAAGAAUGCUCCACGCAGAGCUUUCCUUGUUUUUGGAGGUUUGUUUCAUCCGUGCAUUAACUUGCCAUCAGGGGAGGGGAGGGGGCAGGGGCAGUGGUGACUGUGGGUAGAGGAGAGGCAUUCUCAGUUUUGUCGAAACAUGUGCAGCCCCAUGUGGAGUUCCCACCCCUGAGACCCACGUUCGCAGAGGAUGGGGGCAGGGUGGGGUUAGCGUUUAGGCUCUGGAUGGUUUGUCUGUGGGUGACCAUGUUUUCAGGCCCACACCGCUGCACCUGGGUAGCCCUAAAGAAAUCAUCUGGUAAUGUGUCACAGUGGGUGUCACUGUACUGGCCUGGUGGCAUCAGCAACACCUGGAGUGCUUCAUAAUAAAGGCAGCUGACAGUCCCACCCAGACCAACUGAACCAGAACCUCCUGGGAUGGGACUCAGAAAUCUGUGUCAUUAACUCAUGACCCAAGUGCUUCUGAUAGGCAGCCAGGUUUGAUACGCAAGCUACUGAUCUAAGCUGUUGAGCCACCUUUUGGUGAAAGGACAUGGGCAUGAAGAGGGGAGAAGGGCAGGGGUACCCAGGGAGUUUACCCUGGGCCAGAAAAGGCCAGUCACAAAGUGUUAGACCCAUGGCCUCUGGGAAUUGACUAAAGCUGCUGCUGGGAGCCAGGCUCACUCUUUGCAAAGUGCAAACAAACCCUGACCUUGGAGGAUCAUCCUAUCAGCCCAGUCUGAGCCAUAGGGGCCAUUCUCCAAGCCAAGGGAGACACAGGGCAGCUGCAGCCCUCCGCUCCCCUUCCCUCAGGACUCCGUUUCAUGGCUCCAGGAAACGUUCGAAAGGACCAGCAGCCUUCUGGGAG